GGAAAUAGCUAGCUGAGGCCUGUUGCUUGCAGUUUGCAUUUUGCAUAAACACCUGGGCCAGGAGGCAGGAACCUGUUAACCUGAUGCUAGACAGAAUGAGAUUUUUGGGGAAGACUUGUAUUAAAUGUAUAUAGCUAAGUAGUCUCUCAUCCUGAGACACCUCUGCAGAGUCAAGUGAUGUAUCUUUUGCUGUGAAGACCCACCUGUUAAUUUGGACUCAGCUUGAAGAAAUCAUUUUGGGAACAGUACUUUCUACUGUCUUGGAUGUUAAGACAGGUCAGACAAAGAUUUUGUGACCAAGACUCUUGAGGAACCCUGACCAGAGGAAGCUGUGCAGCAUCAGAUACUUACCUGUGGAUUUACUCGAACCGUACCAGGAUUUACCCAAGGAAGCAUCAGGAGCCAAAUUGUUGAUGUAUUUUAGGCAGCUUUACUAGGGCUGCUAUACCCAGCCAGUGAACUGUAACGAAUCCUGUAUUUCAUGAUAAACCGCACUUCACACAAAGAAACUGUCUCCAGUGAUUGCUGCUUGAUACACUAUGAUUUUCAGUGGGCACAGUUUGGACCUACUCCAGUGGUUUCUGUACCUGUAUCCAAUCUGUCCAUUUUUAAUACACGGACAAGAACUAAAUAUUCCUGGGCUAGAUAAAAGCUCUCCAGCCCAUUUGCUCCUAUCCCCCUUGGUGGUACAGCUGACCCCCCUCCUGUGACUGGUUAUCUGAGCUUCACUACAUGUUGCUGCUGCAAGAAGUAUACUUCUGCACACUGAAUUCGGAAGGAGGAAAGUGAAAUGGAGGAAUUGUAUAGAAAGAAUAAUGGUUUGCACUGCAUAAUAAUUUAAUAGGGAAAGAGAAAUGGGUACAAAGUAGUCAUAUACCACAGGCCAAUGUGUGGAAGUGUCAAAGAAAGAUUGCUAACAUAAAUCCUGCCAUAUUGAUGUAAUGAUAAUUAAAAUGUCAAUGACAUAACACCAGUGUUAUGCAUAUAAAUAAAAAUAGACGUGCUAACAAAGGGUGUGAUAGGGAUAUGCAGCUGCAGUGUAACAAAAGGGAGAUAAUAUUUGAUAAACAUGUUAAUAAUAUGAGUCAAGGUAUUUGAUAAACAUGUUGAUAAUAUGAUAAGUCAAGGUAACAGCAAGGGUGGAAGAUACAUUAUAGGAUGAAUGCAUAGACUGCAGUUAUUGCACAUGAAUUGUAUAUACAGGGAAUGUAUGUAUACAAGACAGCACCACAGCUAUAUUCCCCACCUCAGCAUGUAUACAUAAGAACAAAUGUACUUACAGCUGUAAUGUUAUGUAAAUCACAAUUGGUCAUGAGUUCAAAGAAAUAUGUGACACUCAUAGGAAAGGUGUUUAUCACCUAUAGACAUGUAAUAGACAAGCAAGUGUUGUGUAGUCAUGUAAAUGCUAAAUCAUAAUAUAAUAGCACACAACAUACAUAACUGACAAAUGGCCACACAGAUCGGGUGACAUUUCAUGAUUUCAGGUUUUACAUUGUUAACUUGCAAACAUCUCAGGCAUCAUUAUAUAGGGCAUGUUCACAGAGAAUAACAGGGUGCAGUAACAUAACAGCAAUUCAACAGCACCAACACACAAGAAAGUGUUGUAACACAGAACCAAUUCCAGUUUCUGAUGGUCGGGCUGCAUGCCAUACAGUAAGUAACAUUUACAGAUUGCCUCAUUUGCUGUUAAGCUGUAUAAAGUGACAAAAAAACAACAUUAGUAAUAAAGGAAUGUCUAGAUUAGGAAAUGCAAUACAGAGCAUAAUUCUUUUGAGAAUAGUUAAUGCCUCUGAGCAAUGAAUGACAUAAUAAACAUUUGCAUCAUGUCAUUUCUGAACACACACCAAGACAGAUAUCAGACAGAUACAUAACAAUCAUGUAUGCCACAGAAGUACGCAUAUCAGUUAUGUCGUGAAGAACACCCUUGAAGGGCUUACAGCACUUUCCUAUCAUAAGGGGUAUGGAUGCCCUACCUUGUAUGACAAGACCUGAAAAAUGUGGCUGUAUAAAUGUGCUGUAACUAUUGUCUGUGUGUAAGCCACUGUUGUAUGACAGACAUGUUACAAGAUUCAAACAUCUGCCUAUUAUUCUAGGCUUUUUCCAGAACUCUGUUUUGACUGCAUGUGCCACAUCAGAUAGCAAUGGAGGCUGUCAUAAAUAACUGAAUUUAAUGUAUGCAUUAAGAAAGGCAUUGUGAAUAUAAUAUAAACAAUUAGAUUUAGUCAGAAUGCUGGGAAGGAGCUACACAUUACUGUCUACACAACAGUGAGCAGUAUAACACCAAUGCUUCUUUGACAAGGAAGCUGUUUCCAUUGUGAAGUACACAUACUGUCCCAAAAUUGAAACACAAUCUAUCUGUGUAGGUAUGCUAUACAAGCCAAUACUCAAUGAACAUGCCACAGGAGAAUGCACAGCACGAUAUGCCCCAGAUAAUGCCCAAAUAACCAUUUCACUGCCAUGCAGUCACAACCUUUGAUGCUAUA